GAUGAACGCUGGCGGCGUGCCUAAUACAUGCAAGUCGAGCGAACGGACGAGAAGCUUGCUUUUCUGAUGUUAGCGGCGGACGGGUGAGUAACACGUGGAUAACCUACCUAUAAGACUGGGAUAACUUCGGGAAACCGGAGCUAAUACCGGAUAAUAUUUUGAACCGCAUGGUUCAAAAGUGAAAGACGGUCUUGCUGUCACUUAUAGAUGGAUCCGCGCUGCAUUAGCUAGUUGGUAAGGUAACGGCUUACCAAGGCAACGAUGCAUAGCCGACCUGAGAGAGUGAGCGGCCACACUGGAACUGAGACGCGGUGCAGACUCCUACGGGAAGCAGCAGUAGGGAAUCUUGCGCAAUGGGCGAAAGCCUGACGGAGCAACGCCACGUGAGUGAUGAAGGUCUUCGGAUCGUAAAACUCUGUUAUUAGGGAAGAACAUAUGUGUAAGUAACUGUGCACAUCUUGACGGUACCUAAUCAGAAAGCCACGGCUAACUACGUG
rnacentral:rRNA from 1 species